UACAGAGGUCUCAAGCGUUGUUCGGAUUCAUUGGGCGUAAAGGGUGCGUAGGUGGCGCGGUAAGUCGGGUGUGAAAUUUCGGAGCUUAACUCCGAAACUGCAUUCGAUACUGCCGUGCUUGAGGACUGGAGAGGAGACUGGAAUUUACGGUGUAGCAGUGAAAUGCGUAGAUAUCGAGAGGAACACCUGCGGCGAAGGCGGGUUGCUGGGCCGACACUGACGCUGAUGCGCGAAAGCCAGGGGAGCGAACGGG
rnacentral:rRNA from 1 species